AUUGAACGCUGGCGGAAUGCUUUACACAUGCAAGUCGAACGGCAGCACGGGUGCUUGCACCUGGUGGCGAGUGGCGAACGGGUGAGUAAUACAUCGGAACGUACCCAGUUAUGGGGGAUAACUAACCGAAAGGUUAGCUAAUACCGCAUACGUCCUGAGGGGGAAAGCGGGGGACCGUAAGGCCUCGCGUAAUUGGAGCGGCCGAUGUCUGAUUAGCUAGUUGGUGAGGUAAAGGCUCACCAAGGCGACGAUCAGUAGCAGGUCUGAGAGGAUGAUCUGCCACACUGGAACUGAGACACGGUCCAGACUCCUACGGGAGGCAGCAGUGGGGAAUUUUGGACAAUGGGCGAAAGCCUGAUCCAGCCAUUCCGCGUGAGUGAAGAAGGCCUUCGGGUUGUGAAGCUCUUUCGGCAGGGAAGAAACGGUCUAGGUUAAUACCUUGGGCUAAUGACGGUACCUGAAGAAGAAGCACCGGCUAACUACGUGCCAGCAGCCGCCGUAA
rnacentral:rRNA from 1 species